AGGCUGCGCGCUCCUUAUGAGAAUCUAACGCCUGAUGACCUAUCACUGUCUCCCAUCACUCCCAGAUGGGACCGUCUAGUUGCAGGAAAACAAGCUCAGGGCUCCCACUGAUUCUACAUUAUGAUCAACUGCAUGGGGUCCUACAGGAGAAGACCAAGAGACAGAGACAGAGACCAGGGAAAAUGACCGAUACCAUUCCUUCUCAGGGAUGCUACACACCCAUGGGGCAGAGGAUAAGAGGUUCCUGAAGGCAUCACCCCUCUGGCCAUGGCUGGUGUGCAGACAAAGCUGGAGAUUUGGAGUAGCCUGUUGUCCCACUGACUCUUAGACUGCCCCAGCUAAGAAGAACCAACUCCUCCUAUUACAGAUGAAAUAAACAAAGCUACUCAAGCUCUCUGGCAUCGCCCUGACGGUCAUCAUGUGCUUCACAUUUCCCUCCUGCCCCCCCUGAUUUUCUGGAAAAGGGAGAAAGUGUGUGAAAAAAAAUGGACAAUAACUUCUGUUAACUUUGUAGAUGUCUGGUUCCUCCAUAUGAGGCUGUGCUUGAAUCAAUUUUGGAGAGAGGGUUUCUAAAGUCUCUCUAGAUUCUAUUAAUUUUGAUAGAGACAAUAAAAGGCAGCAGGACCAACUCUGUGUGGUGGGAGAUCUAGCAACCAUUAUAGUCACAAUAGCCACCACUUACUGAACACCCACCAUGUGACAAAGAACAAAUGUGCAUGAAUUAUGUCACAUUUUUCACAAGCACCCCUUGAGUUGGGAGUUCACUCAUGAGGCAACUGAGGUUCAGGGAGAUGAAGUAACUCACCCUGUAGGUAGGAGGGCUGAGAUCUGGACGUAGAUCUUUCCUCCAAAGCUUUGUCUUUUUUUUUCUACUAUAGCACACCAAAGAGAGUUCUAGAAAAAAUGAGAAUAAGAAAUUUACCUGUAAUCCUUGCUCAAGAAACUGAAGCUCUGAGGCCACAUUGUUCCAGCCUUUUGCAGCUCCUGCAUGUGGAUACCAGCACCAGCAGCUCCCCGACCAGGGGCCCCAGCUAAGCCCUCCCAGAGGAUGAUCUUGGCUUUGUACAUGGGGUGUCAAUAUCCUGUGAGUCCAACAGAGGGAAGACAUAAGAAUAUGGUCACCCAGGUUUUGUACAGAGGAAAUCCAGGCUCCUAACGAUGGCGAAAGAUGGGAAUAAAAGGAUCAGAACACUGAGCUGGAUCUUCAGUUCAUUUCAGAACCACCUUAAAAGUAGACCUUUCAGAGCUACCCGAGAAUCCUGGUCCCUGCAGCUGAUCUUCCCACCUCCACCCAGCUCUCGUCCUCCUCUUCCUCCCCAUCCACCAUCCUGACCAGGUGAGCUGGCUUCCCCUGCUCAACAGCUCUACGAGUUUGCACUUCUGGAUUUGGUCAGGUCAAGACCAGCUCCCCCAAAUAUACCUCUGUCCUAGACAGCCUUGUUCUAAACAGAAACUGAUGAUAACAUGGAGGAAGAGGCUUGAACGGAAAGGUGGAGGAGGGAAGGAAGGAACAGGGAGAAGUCAUCUCUAGGUUGGCAGUCCCUGUCAGCCUCUUAGGACUUCUCACCUCUGCAGCAGUGAUGGUAGAGUCGUGUCUUACUCCCUGGGGGGAGGUGGGUGGUUCCUGACACCAUCCCCUGCUUCCCCAAGUUCUCCUCUUUAGAAAAGGAUGGAGGUCUAUGAUGCAGGCAAGGUCAUCACAGAUUCUAUUCCCUCCUUCUAGUGAUCUCAAACGUGACAUUAAAUAAAUGUAGCAAAGAGGUUCUUUAUGAA
ensembl:lncRNA LINC03060 long intergenic non-protein coding RNA 3060